CAAGGGCGGGACCUCGGUCGGCAAGUAGCUAUUCAGUGUCCGCUCUGUGCUGGGGAAACAACUGUAGACAGACCAGCCCUUGUUCUCAGGCAGCUGACAAGCCAUUCUUCUGUGCGUGUCAAAUGAAAAUCCUCUUCCUACAGACUGCCUGCCGAUUCUCAGAAACUGAAAUAAGCUUCCGCGACCAUCGUUCCUGCAUUUAUUUAUGCCGCCUAUGGCUUGUCAGGACCCUAUGCAGCCACUGGAAUGACUUUUGGCCAGGGGAAGAUGGCAGCUCUCUGGUCUAGAGCGGAGGUUGCGUGGGCUAUGAGAACUAGAAUGAUUUAACCCAUACUUGGGUGGUGGUGAGUGGUGCUCAAGGCUUUAAUGGGAACAGAAAAGAAGGGAUGUUCUAAAAGAAGCUCGUGUUCUCUAAGCAGAAGAGUCAGCAUGUUGGCCCGGGACCUCUGCCCACAGCACAGCUCAGGCCAGUCUCCACCUGUGAACGUCCUGAUUCAUAAGCUAAAUGCCCAGUAGGAACCUCGGCUCUACAUUCUUUACCAUCAAUCAAAGGAAUCUAGUGGUUUUCAGAAGCAGCUCAACAUGGCCAAUAAUUCUGAGACACCCAUUUCUAGUACAUUAAAAGGUAUCACAUGUUAAUAGUCUUUUUGGAAGCUAGUCUCUCCAGGACAUUUUUUUAAACGAAUGUUUCUCAUAAUUUUAGAGGACCCAGUCUUCUUCCUCUCACUAUUUAAUGCAGUGGCCAAUGGUUGUGAAUACCUGUCAUAAGUGCUCACAAGAGCAAAUUGGUCAGGUUUUCCUUUGAGAGCACAAGAUCCUUAUGGAGAAGAGAUUGCAAGGAAGGAGAGCCACCUGGGAGACCACUUAGGAAGAUCAGUGAUAAAGUAGGCAAAAGCGGAGAAUCUGGAUGGAACAAUAACCUGGAGAAGCUUCUUGUGUUGAAGGAUCUCUGGCUUAGUUGGUUUCCCCCCAGCAGACUCUGCCUGCGAGUGGUUUGGGUGGUGAUGCCAGAGACCACCGACAGGAGAGUGAGGAAGGAGCCCUGGCAGGGGAGGCAGUGAGGGAAGGCUGCGUGUGAAGCCAGAGGAGGAAGAGCAAGCCCGGAGUUUAUCCACAGAAUGAAGCCACCAGGAGGGGUUCUCUCUGAUUCUCACCUGAAUCGAGCAAGCAGUAAGCGCCCUAGAUGCUCCUUGCAGGAAUAUCCGUAGAGUCAGUGUUUGGACACGUCCACCCACCCCCCGAGACCCUUCCUCCGCGGCCCUCUGCCUGAUGCUCUCCUGAGAUGCCCCAUGACUUGUUCCGUCCUGCGUUCAGGUCUGUGACCAAAUAUCCCCCGUCUGAGGGGCCUCCUUGACCACCAGACCUAAAGCAUGGCCGCGUGGUGGUCCGAUGUGUGACCAACCCACCCCACUGACCCUCUGCUCUAGCGCGGAGCCUGCCCGUCACGGGCCCUGGGUGAAUCGUCACAGGGUGUGACCGGGUGGAAGGACCCCCCAGCAGGCUGUGAUCCCCGCAAAGGCAACCCCGUAUCUGUGUCCUCGGGGUCUGGCGCUGGGAUUGCAGGCACUCAGUAAAUAACUGUGGAAGGAAGACGUGGAAGUACAGUGAGAACACGAAAUGCUGUGUCACUGGCCAUUGCUGAAAUGAAGAUGUGGCCUUUCUAGACUCCACAAGUGAGUCUAUAGGACCCUGUCGGUAAACAAGCGCGGGCGACGCGCGGACCCUGAUGGGGGGCUGCAGGCUGGAGGCCUCCCCGGGACCCCACCCCUCAGCCCGGACCCUGAUGGGGGGCUGCAGGCUGGAGGCCUCCCGGACCCCACCCCUCAGCCCGGACCCUGAUGGGGGGCCGCAGGCUGGAGGCCUCCCCGGGACCCCACCCCUCAGCCCGGACCCUGAUGGGGGGCCGCAGGCUGGAGGCCUCCCCGGGACCCCACCCCUCAGCCCGGACCC